UACGGAGGGUGCAAGCGUUAUCCGGAUUCACUGGGUUUAAAGGGUGCGUAGGUGGGCAGGUAAGUCAGUGGUGAAAUCUCCGGGCUUAACCCGGAAACUGCCAUUGAUACUAUCUGUCUUGAAUACCGUGGAGGUGAGCGGAAUAUGUCAUGUAGCGGUGAAAUGCUUAGAUAUGACAUAGAACACCAAUUGCGAAGGCAGCUCACUACGCGAAUAUUGACACUGAGGCACGAAAAGCGUGGGGGAGCAAACAGGG
rnacentral:rRNA from 1 species